GAAAGGUGGGGGAGGGGGGAGGGGGGAAGCUGGUAGUAUUGCUGGAUUCUAAUAACUGCUAACACAGGGAGUGCAAGAGUAACUCCAGUGGAAGUGAAAGGAUAAAUAAAUCUGCAAGGCUCUUCAUGCUCUGACUGCUGCCUUCUGACUGACUUUAUGAUGACCUGUUCCAGCUAUGCUCACUUCAUUGUGACUCCCCAAAGACUUCAUGCUAUCAUUUCACUUUGACCAUACAAAUCUCCAUUAAAAAGAAAGGUGGUAAACGAUGUGGAAUGGUUUAAAUAAUAUAGGAAUCAUCUUUUGUCAAUUCCGGUCAGCCAGCCUGGAACACACCUGUACUCAGCACAGCUACAGAAGAAUGAGAAUAAUUUGAAAUCGAGAACCUCCACUGUUCUUGGAGGAGAAGACACAGUUCCAUAUCAUUAUGGUAAAGUCUCUGAGGAACAAAGGAAUCGGAGACAGGUCCAUUUGCUUUCUAACACGUAUGUAACAGGACCCGCAAUAAUGCUGUGGCUGUAGUAUCUCUUUUGAAUUAUGUCAGAGUCACUGAAGUCUUCUGGCACCAGCUUGUGAAAAGGACAACAUGCUGAAUAGUGAGAAAUGGAGGAGAGGUGUGAUUUAUUGUCAGAGAGAGAAGCACAGAAGCAUAACUCUUCUUCCUGACAGAUGCUCCAGCCGAUGACACAGAGGCGAGUAACAGCAUUGUUAUAGAAAUUUGGCCAACUGCUUUAGGCACCAUCUGCUCAUUUUCCCCCAGAAGAGUAAUCCCUUUCAAAGGUUGAAGGGGAAGUUAAAAAGGCUGCUCAGGCACUUGGCAAAUUUCUUUCGAUUUCCAGAAUUGUGAGUCACUCAAGUGUAACUCAAAGAAGAGUUAACCUCAAACAGGGCAAGGGCCAUCAGAGCUGAACCAGACCAAAAAAAUUUAAAAUAAAAAAAUUCUAAGUGA
rnacentral:lncRNA from 1 species